UAAAAUAUAUUCAUAACUAUGAUUGUCAUUUUACUUACUCUAGACCAAUCUAAUCAAAAUAAACUUGAAUAGGAGGAUUCAACUAUGGAGAAAGACUAUCCACAUCAAUUUUCAUGUUAAGAUCAUACAAGUAACUGUCUCUUGAUCAACUAAAACACCCAAGAAAGCUACAAUGCCUUCCACAUUCUAUGAAAUAAAAUAUUAUAAUCAAUAAUUCUAUCUUAUGCAUUCAUUGUCUCUUCUUUUCUCCACACUUAUGACAACAAUGGAUAAUAUUGGACUAUCGUAAAAGAUUG
rnacentral:lncRNA from 1 species